rnacentral:rRNA from 1 species
CCCUUAGAGUUUGAUCCUGGCUCAGGACGAACGCUGGCGGCGUGCCUAACACAUGCAAGUCGAACGAGUCCUGGCUUUCGGGCCAGAGGCGAGUGGCGGACGGGUGAGUAACACGUGAGCAAUCUGUCCCUGUGUGGGGGACAACCCGGGGAAACUCGGGCUAAUACCGCAUGGGCAGGCACUUCACAGGAAGAGCCUGGGAAAGAGGCCCUCUUUACAAUGGUCUCAUGCAGGGAGGAGCUCGCGGGCUAUCAGCUAGUUGGUAGUGGUAAUGGCCUACCAAGGCGACGACGGCUACGGGGUCUGAGAGGACGACCCCGCACAUUGGAACUGAGACACGGUCCAGACUCCUACAGGAGGCAGCAGUGGGGAAUUUUGGGCAAUGGCCGAAAGGCUGACCCAGCGACGCCGCGUGUGGGAUGACGCCUCUCGGGGUGUAAACCACUGUCAGAGGGGAAGAAUAGCCCAGUUGCGAAUAGUUACUGGGUGUGACGGUACCCUCAAAGGAAGCACCGGCUAACUCCGUGCCAGCAGCCGCGGUAAUACGGAGGGUGCAAGCGUUGUUCGGAUUUACUGGGCGUAAAGCGCGCGCAGGUGGGUGAACAAGUCGGAAGUGAAAUCUUGAGGCUCAACCUCGAGGCUGCUCCCGAAACUGUUCGCCUAGGGACUGGUAGAGGCUGGUAGAAUUCCCGGUGUAGCGGUGGAAUGCGUAGAGAUCGGGAAGAAUACCUGUGGCGA